rnacentral:lncRNA from 1 species
AAAAAAUAAUUCACUAAGAGAAAAGAUUACAAGGUGAUUACCGACUCCACGGACUCAACCUCUCUUAACCUCCUAUGAAUCUUCGCGCUACCCUCCGGGUUGUCCACGCCCUCACGUUCGAAUCCACGAACGCCUCUACUUCGAAUCCACGAAGCUUCAAUCACGCCGAAUCCACGACGCCACUCGAAUCCACGAGCCAACGAUCCGAAUCCACGAACCGCCUUUGUUCACGUCGAAUCCACGACGCCGUUCAUGAAGAGCAUCAUGAUUACGGUGAUCCUUCGCUUAGGAGUAUCAUAA